rnacentral:rRNA from 1 species
UACGAAGGGGGCUAGCGUUGUUCGGAAUUACUGGGCGUAAAGCGUGCGCAGGCGGUUAUGUAAGACAGAUGUGAAAUGCCCGGGCUUAACCUGGGAACUGCAUUUGUGACUGCAUGGCUAGAGUGUGUCAGAGGGGGGUAGAAUUCCACGUGUAGCAGUGAAAUGCGUAGAUAUGUGGAGGAACACCGAUGGCGAAGGCGGCCCACUGGCUCGAUACUGACGCUGAGGUGCGAAAGCGUGGGGAGCAAACAGG